rnacentral:rRNA from 1 species
AGGGUUCGAUUAUGGCUCAGGAUGAACGCUGGCGGCGUGCUUAACACAUGCAAGUCGAACGGGAUCCAUCGGGCUUUGCUUGGUGGUGAGAGUGGCGAACGGGUGAGUAAUGCGUGACCGACCUGCCCCAUGCACCGGAAUAGCUCCUGGAAACGGGUGGUAAUGCCGGAUGCUCCAGUUGAUCGCAUGGUCUUCUGGGAAAGCCUUUGCGGCAUGGGAUGGGGUCGCGUCCUAUCAGCUUGAUGGCGGGGUAACGGCCCACCAUGGCUUCGACGGGUAGCCGGCCUGAGAGGGCGACCGGCCACAUUGGGACUGAGAUACGGCCCAG